rnacentral:lncRNA from 1 species
AAAGGAUGAGACCCAGACUCUUAGCAUCCUCACCCUGAUAGGCAUCUCUGCAGAAGGUGCAGCAAAUGUUACCCAACCAGGGGAAAAUCAGUGAUCCCAACUUGGAGAAUCCAGGGCUGGGGAAAGCCGCUGAAGCAGGGACUGAGUUUUCAAUUAACAGAAGUAGACGAUUAAAGGAUCAUCAGUGCUGGUGGCGUGACUGCCAUGCCCCAGGACUUGGGGAUACACAAGUUCUGGAUUCCACUGGAAUAAGGAAUCUUCUGGCUUCUGAACCUGAGGGAACUGGAAAGUGCAGGAUUCAACAGGAACAUGGUGUGCCGGAUGGUCACCAUAGGAGCGCCUCUAAACCACUGAACCCUCCAUUCUCAAUAUGGGUUGCCACAGAGUUUAACCCGACUAUAUGGAAGGUUCUGGAAGAAGGAAGGGAUCUACAUCACAGAGGCCAAGCCCAAACAAUGGCUAUCCUAUCAGGGUGGCUGUCCUCAGAGCUCUUGGCAGAGGAGCAGAGGAAUACAUCACGUUGUUAGUGAGAAGAAGCACCCGGAAGUCAGAGGUGAAUGUGUGGCCCGCCACAGGCAGCAUCUUCGUCCUUCUGAGACCCAGGAGUUAGCUCCCUGAGUCAGGAUCUCUGGGGCAGUACCUCUGUCCAGGGAGGGGUUUCCUAAGUUCAUUCAUGGUUGGGUAUCUCCUAGGUUCAUGUCAGGUUAUCAGUUGGCCGAGCACUUGGCCUGCAGGUCUCACCACACUGGUCUGCUACAGACUGCUGACAGGGUCUUCAGCACCAAAUCCAUGGCUACAGUGUAUGCAUCUUUGUAUGCCCAAAUUACAGCAAGCAGUCAUAGCCACCAUGGACACCCAACCCAUUCUUUCCAAAGCAGUAGUGCAGCUGAUGUCAGAACAAGGAAGAACUUUGCUAGAUACAGCCAGGCUCCUAUUGUCCCCACCCAGGGAACUCUGCAGUCUGGAGCAGCUGCCUUGGGCUCCUCCUCCUCAGCAAGAGGUCUAAGAGGGUGUGUGUGGAGGGGUGCCUAAAAACAACCACAAAACUCACCUUUUAUCCAGAUGGAGACCCUGUAAGAUGUCCAGACCUGUGCCUGGGGGCAACUUGCUACCUCU